AUAUUCAUAGUAUUUUAUGGAGAAUAAAUCAAGAAAAUAAUUCCUUUUUAUAUUUGAAUUAAAAAUUAAAAAAAAAUUUGAAAAAUGAUUUUAAGAGUAUUUUGAAAAUGUUACCACACAGGUAGAAGAUAUUGCUAGAUUCCUUCAAGUAGCCCGGAUUGCAACUUGGGCUCUUAGAGGAGCUGCGGUUAGAUUUUAAAGACUGUGGUUGUAGUCGGCCAAAAGCCCAAGCCCAAUAUGUGUUCGUGAGCCCAAUAUUGGUCCAUGACAUGCGCACUUAACUAUUUAUCAUUUUAUUGUGAUGUUAUGGUCCAAGCAAAAAAAAAAAAAAAAACACCAAAAACAAAAACAGAAAAAAAAAAAAAUCAAUAACCAGAAAUUUAACCCCUUAAAAAUAAAGGAGAAAUAAAUAGUAUAUUACAUGAAAUAAGAAGAAAUUUAACUCCCUUUAAUGUUAAAAGUGGUUAA
rnacentral:lncRNA from 1 species